UACGGAGGAUCCAAGCGUUAUCCGGAUUUAUUGGGUUUAAAGGGUGCGCAGGCGGAAGAUUAAGUCGGCGGUGAAAUUUUGCAGCUCAACUGUAAAAGUGCCAUCGAUACUGGUUUUCUUGAGUGUGGAUGAAGUAGGCGGAAUUUGUGGUGUAGCGGUGAAAUGCAUAGAUAUCACGAGGAACUCCGAUUGCGCAGGCAGCUUACUAAACUACUACUGACGCUCAGGCACGAAGGCGUGGGGAUCGAACAGGAUUAGAUA
rnacentral:rRNA from 1 species